rnacentral:lncRNA from 1 species
GUGUGACAUGAUCUGACCAUCUUUUAAUAGACUUCUAUGUUAUGAAUAGAUCAACGAGGGGCAAGGAUAGAAGCAGAGACAUCAAUGGAGAAGAGGCUAUAGAAAGAUUCUGAGCAAGAAAUGACAAUGGGUUGGUAAUGGUAGUGCAGGUGAUAAGAAGAAGUCAUGUUCCGGAUGUACUUUUUCAGUGACUUUUAUGAAGAUUUUUAGACAGUAGACAUCCAGAUGGAGAUGGAUUUGUGCUUCCUUUUCUACCCUACAGUGAGAAGC